CAUGAAGCCGGAAUCGCUAGUAAUCGCGGAUCAGAAUGCCGCGGUGAAUACGUUCCCGGGUCUUGUACACACCGCCCGUCACACCAUGGGAGUCGGGAAUGCCCGAAGUCAGUGGCCCAACCGGAAGGGGGGAGCUGCCGAAGGCAGGCCCGGUGACUGGGGUGAAGUCGUAACAAGGUAUC
rnacentral:rRNA from 1 species